UACGUAGGGUGCAAGCGUUGUCCGGAAUUAUUGGGCGUAAAGAGCUCGUAGGCGGUUUGUUGCGUCGGCUGUGAAAUCCCGAGGCUCAACCUCGGGUCUGCAGUCGAUACGAGCAAACUAGAGUGUUGCAGGGGAGACUGGAAUUCCUGGUGUAGCGGUGAAAUGCGCAGAUAUCAGGAGGAACACCAAUGGCGAGGGCAGCUCUCUGGUACAUGAUUGACGCUGAGACGCGAAAGCGUGGGGAGCGAACAGG
rnacentral:rRNA from 1 species